rnacentral:tRNA from 1 species
GAGAUGUUAGUAAAAUAUUACAUAACUUUGUCAAAGUUAAGUUGCAGGUGAAAGCCCUGUACAUCUCA